AUACGGAGGGGGCUAGCGUUGUUCGGAAUUACUGGGCGUAAAGCGCGCGUAGGCGGCGCACGCAGUCAGAGGUGAAAGGCCUGGGCUCAACCCAGGAACUGCCUUUGAUACUGGUGUGCUAGAGUCCGGGAGAGGGUAGCGGAAUUCCCAGUGUAGAGGUGAAAUUCGUAGAUAUUAGGAAGAACACCGGUUGCGAAGGCGGCUACCUGGAACGGUACUGACGCUCAGGUGCGAAAGCGUGGGGAGCAAACAGGAUUAGAAACCCCAGUAGUCC
rnacentral:rRNA from 1 species